rnacentral:ribozyme from 1 species
UUUUUUUUUUUUUUUUUUUUUUUUCUGAAAGAAAUCGAUGUUUCGUAAAAGAAAGAAUACCAUACAGGUGGAACACAAUGAUAUAUUCCAACAACAGUAAGAAAAACAAUGAAAAUAAUU